AUUGAACGCUGGCGGCAGGCCUACCACAUGCACGUCGAACGAGUGGCGGACGGGUGAGUAAUGUCUGGGAAACUGCCCGAUGGAGGGGGAUAACUACUGGAAACGGUAGCUAAUACCGCAUACCAUCGGAUGUGCCCAGAUGGGAUUAGCUAGUAGGUGGGGUAACGGCUCACCUAGGCGACGAUCCCUAGCUGGUCUGAGAGGAUGACCAGCAAACAUGGAACUGAUACACGGUCCAGACUCCUACGGGAGUCAGCAGGGGGGAAUAAUGCACAAUGGGCGCAAGACGGAUGCAACCAUGCCGCGUGUAUGAAGAAGGCCGUCGGGUUGUAAAGUACUUUCAGCGGGGAGGCGUUACCCGCAGAAGAAGCACCGGCAGACUCCGUGCCAGCCGCCGCGGUAAUAC
rnacentral:rRNA from 1 species